rnacentral:rRNA from 1 species
GAUGAACGCUGGCGGCGUGCUUAACACAUGCAAGUCGAACGGGGAACAAAUUAUUGAAGCUUCGGCAGAUCUAGCUUGUUCCUAGUGGCGGACGGGUGAGUAACGCGUGGGUAACCUGCCUCACACUGGGGGAUAACAGUCAGAAAUGGCUGCUAAUACCGCAUAAGCGCAUAGUACCGCAUGGUACAGUGUGAAAAACUCCGGUGGUGUGAGAUGGACCCGCGUUGGAUUAGCUAGUUGGCAGGGCAGCGGCCUACCAAGGCGACGAUCCAUAGCCGGCCUGAGAGGGUGAACGGCCACAUUGGGACUGAGACACGGCCCAGACUCCUACGGGAGGCAGCAGUGGGGAAUGUUGCACAAUGGGGGAAACCCUGAUGCAGCGACGCCGCGUGAAGGAAGAAGUAUCUCGGUAUGUAAACUUCUAUCAGCAGGGAAGAAAAUGACGGUACCKACUAKAGCCCCGAAACCYG